AGAGGAUCCCUGAAAAAUCUCAAAGGAUUUGUCUCUCACCUUGUAAACAAGUGACAUUAAACUAAUUAGGGCGAUUUGGUAUGUUCAAUUACUGGGAAGCAUUGUCAGGCAGGUUUUACUCUGAUGCUUUCACAAAGAUGCUUCAUCUUCAGAGAGUCAUGAGAGGACUUUGACAGGUACUCUGGAGUACAGGUUUCUAAUAAGAUCAUGAAACAACUUGAAUUCGAAAUUUAAUCUGUUUUUAGCAUCGGGACCCUUUAUGAUGGAUAUAAAUGGUGGCUAACACAAUGUGACUCAGAAAGAAAGAUUGACAGUCUAUGUUAGUCUCCUGAUUUACAACUUAUUUCACUCUCCUAAAUCAACAUCAAGAAAAGGAAACAAGAUAUUAGCCAUGACAUCUUGCCAUUUUCUGUUUGGAUAAAAAUAGUGUGAGGGUAGUGUCUUGCCUGAGUCAUCUUUUGAUUAUACCAGAUUCCUGACCUCUUCUUGGUAGGCACAGGUUCAAGCCCAAGGCUCCAGGCUGAAAACUGGAUUUUUAGGAGGUGACUGAGGUUAAAUGAAAACAUAGGGCUGGGCCCUAAUCCAAUAGCACCGUAUCCUCAUAAGAUGAGAGCAAGCAAGAUAUCCCAGGUCAUCUACGGGCCAGGAAGAGAGCUCCCACAAGAGAACUCAACCACGCUGGCUUCCAGCCUCUGCAACUCUGAGAAAUUAUGCUUGUGUUGUUCAGCCACCUGGUCUCGGGAGACUUGCCUGGAAGACCUAGAUCCGCACUCUCACCUCCUGCACAAACUCCAAAAGGGUGGGCUCCUGCAAGGGGCCUCUAGGAACUCCUCUGGAGACCUGGCCUAUCCAAAUAGGCCUCACCUAAUACUGCUUUGUAAUGAAAUCUUUUCUUUGCUCUCAAGACCACUGAGUAGUUGAAGCCCAUAGGCUCUAAACAUAGAGCCAACUACGCAACUUGGUCAUAACACAGCUAUCAGAAAUGAUGUGCCAGUCCUCCGUUUAAAAUACAAAGUUGGAAUCCAGUAAUAUGUGUAUAAAGUAUAAGAAUGUUACCUGUGUCUGGGAAGCCCAGCUAAGGAAGGACUCAUCACUUGUAUUACGGCAGGACGGUAACUAGCUGGUCCCAGAGAGGGUUUGCUGGCUGAACUUCCACAAAAGGCUGAGGAAUUUGGUCAAGUGCCCAUCUCUGCUGAGACCAGCUACCCUUGACAUAGCCUGUCAAGAAAAAGCCACUGGACCUAGUGACCCUCCUGCCCCCAAUCGGUAGUGAGCACCUGAGUUGAGGAGAAAAAAACCCUUACUUAUCUUUGUUGUCUAGUUUUAUUUUACCAAUUUCUCAUGAGCUUGUGGUCUCUAUAGAAGAUUUCUUCAUUUAAAGGAAAAAAAAAAAGAAUCUGAUCUUAACACUUUGAUUAAAGUAUUGAUUAAACUAAAUACAUGAUUAGGGGGUGCCUGGGUGGCUUAGUCAGUUGGGCAUCCAACUUCGGCUUGGGUCAUGAUCUUGCGGUUCGUGGGUUCGAGCCCUGCGUCGGGCUCUGUGCUGACGGCUCAAAGCCUGGAGCCUGCUUCCGAUUCUGUGUCUCCCUCUCUCUCUGCUCCUCCCCUACUCAUGCUCUGUCUCUCUCUCUCUCAAAAAUAAACAAACAUUAAAAAAAAUAAAUACAUGAUUAGAAAAUCAAUCUCUAAUUAGUAUGGUAGAGGGGAUUAUGUAUCAGUCCUCAGCAGAGAAUUACAGACGCAUUCCACAAACAUAACCAUCCGUACCACCUUGCCUUCCUCCCAUGACUCGCCAAAUAACUCCUUCUGAGACUCAAUGGCUUUAGUAAAUCAGCGUCAGAAGAUCAAGGCAGAAAUUAGGUAGAUCUCCUAGAACUACAGACCAGAAAAAAAGGCAUUUUCAGAACAUUUUCCUAUUUUUUACUCAUUCUAGUUCUUUACGUUGUACUCAUUUCUGUCAAUGGAAGCCAGGCUACACUAUGUAAGGAUGAAGCAAACCAUCUCACUUUGGAGGAGUUGGAAGUCCUUUGUCACUCAGCAGGCCUCAGACACCUCUACUACCUGAGCCCUAAGCUAAAGGAGUUUCCUCACCACCUUGGUUAUCAACUAAUAUUCCUUCUUAUCUCACCAAGAAAGUAUACUUUGUCAAAGAAUUUAAAAAUCACCGUGGACAGUUUUCUCGGUGCUGUGUGUGGGUACACACACAGAUGGGCUGGAACCCUGGGCCUGCUGAAGAACACUCCUUGGAAUUUUAAUUCCCCUAACCUAAACUCACAAGCAGACUCCCAGAAAUAGGCGGAGUUUGUUUCAGUCGCUUACAUCUGGUGUGUGGGCAGCCAUAUUGACAGACUCACAUGAACAGGUGUAGGGACAAAGGAAAGGUAUACUCUCUGAGAAUGCGAAGGACAACUUCUUACACUUGGAAGAAGCCUCACUCUCCAUGCAUGGAAUCUGCCAUAACUGUGCUUUAGGGAGCCAGGGAAGAUAUGCCGACAUCUAAGAUCUCUCGUUUACUGUAAUCUACCCCCAAUUACUUCAUUAGUCCGUGGUCACAACCAAGCUAUUUAUCAAAACCACCUAAUUCUAAAUUUCUAAUGCCAGCUAUCCUGAACCAAAAAUUGAGAUUUAGACAAGUUACUGUGCCAUCAUUCAACAAAUGCUGCACUGAGUAUUACUCCAUGGUUUGAGUGUUAUAUCCUGUUCCCACCUGCUCCAUUCCUCACCCUCAGGCCCAAUAAACCCGGUGCUUAUUCGUUCCAAAUAUAUGCUUGUGUUUGUAUUGUUCUUUCCCUAAGAAUUGCCUGUCACCUUCUCUGUGGAGCUUUUUCUCUGGCCUCAAAACACAUCAGAUUCCACAGCACAAAGAGCU